CGCGUAGGCGGUCAGGUAAGUCAGAUGUGAAAUCCCCGGGCUCAACCCGGGAACUGCAUCUGAUACUGCUUGACUAGAGUUUGGUAGAGGCAAGUGGAAUUCCGGGUGUAGCGGUGGAAUGCGUAGAUAUCCGGAGGAACACCAGUGGCGAAGGCGACUUGCUGGACUAAAACUGACGCUGAGGUGCGAAAGCGUGGGGAGCAAACA
rnacentral:rRNA from 1 species